UACGUAGGGCGCAAGCGUUAUCCGGAAUUAUUGGGCGUAAAGAGCUCGUAGGCGGUUUGUCGCGUCUGCCGUGAAAGUCCGGGGCUCAACUCCGGAUCUGCGGUGGGUACAGGCAGACUAGAGUGAUGUAGGGGAGACUGGAAUUCCUGGUGUAGCGGUGAAAUGCGCAGAUAUCAGGAGGAACACCGAUGGCGAAGGCAGGUCUCUGGGCAUUAACUGACGCUGAGGAGCGAAAGCGUGGGGAGCGAACAGG
rnacentral:rRNA from 1 species